GGAAGUAAAAGUCGUAACAAAGUUUCCGUAGGUGAACCUGCGGAAGGAUCAUUAUUGUAUAACCGAGGUGCGAGGGCUGUCGCUGACCCGAAAGGUCGUGCACGCCCGAGUGCCCUCACACACAUCCAUCUCACCCCUAUGUGCACCACCGCGUGGGUCCCCCUUUGGCUUGUUCGGAGGGGGGCUUACGUUUUCACACAAACUUUGUAUGCAGUGUAGAAUGUAUUUUUUGUUUUUGCGAUCACGCAAUCAAUACAACUUUCAACAACGGAUCUCUUGGCUCUC
rnacentral:misc_RNA from 1 species